rnacentral:rRNA from 1 species
AUGAAUAUCUUAGCCUGGAACUGUCGGGGAUUGGGGUUGGACUUGAUAGUUGGCGAGCUCAGGGACCUGGUACGGUCGUACAACCCAGCGGUGGUAUUUCUGAGUGAAACAAAAAAGACAGCUAGAGCUUUGGAGAAACUGAAGUGGAGUUUGGGGUUUCGAGAGGGGGUGGCCGUUGAUUGCAAAGGGAAAAGUGGUGGUCUUGCUCUGUGGUGGCGUGACAAUGUGCAGGUGACAGUUCGGCCUUGGUGUCAAUAUUUCAUGGAUGCUGCGGUCGCUUUUGAGGGCAAGGCCUAUAGAAUCAUUGGAUUCUAUGGGUUGCCAAAAACGGAACUUCGAUCAAAAUCUUGGGAUGCGUUGAGAUAUCUUCGACGUCAGGAGGAUCAACCCUGGAUCGUGGUGGGAGAUUUUAACGAGGCGCUUCUCCUGACUGAGUAG